AGAAAGACUGUGAUGAGGACGAGUACACAUCGCCCCGGCGGUACAGAGAGCAGUGAAUGGUGAGAGACUGCCCGUACAGUGAUGUGGAAUGGACCUCGGAGUUGCAGGGCAAACGCGAAAGCCAGUAGCCCGCGCCGGAGCUGCCACCGUUAUCCAGGCAAAGGGUAUCGCGACCUUCGGGUCUGCCGUACCCCAAAGAGUGAGGCUGGCCUUUUUCCCCUUGUGGUGCAUCACCGCAGGGGAUUUUUGUUAACAAGGCGCACAACAGCCUAAUGUGGGUGGCACCACGGACCUGAUCCAGCGUUCGUCCCAACA
rnacentral:ncRNA from 1 species